CAAAACCGUUGUCUCAUAUUUUCCUUUAAUGAGGUUUCGAGAAAGGGAAUGGGAAAGGGUUUGCGAUCACACGACUCUGGGUCGCUACGUGCCGCUAAGGGCGCUCGUGCUCCGGUCUAAUCGAGGGUUUGGAUCGACGGCCGCUGCACAGUGCUACUAGAAGGAUGACGAGGGAGAGGAGCGCUCGGCACGCGGCAUGCUUGACGCCAAAGGUUGUAAGCCGAAGCGCGGAGUGCAGUGGGUGAUGAUAGGGGAGCCUGGAGCUAGGAGGAACGUCUUAGCGCAAAGGCUCUCGAAGCUUCUAAAAGUUCCUCACAUUUCCAUAGCUACGCUCUUCAACCAAGACCUCAACCCUCGCUCAUACCUCUAUGGAAAACUUGUCCUAGAGGAAAAUAUUCUUUUAUGACCAUUACGUUUCGUUCUUUUCGCGCUCACGGUCACACUAUCAAAGUUCCUUCAUCUAUAACAAUAUGUGGUGUAGUUCGGAAGACAUUGUUCCAUUGUUACCAAAUAUCGAUUGAGGCGAGGGUGUUGCAUUUUGGAAACAUUCGAAGUGGUAGUAAGGAGUAGCCAAAACAGGGUUUAUUCGGUCAACUUGGUGUAUUGGUAGUAUCGUACACUCAAAACCAUUAGCGAUUCUCGUCCUCUCUUUUCCCUCCCCCACCUUGAGUAGAUAACUAUAUUCUGGCUUCUUCCAAUGAAUUAUUUUGGUUAUUUUGUACUUUUGCAGGGCAUUAAGGGUGGUAAGGCUCUUACCAUUUCUCACACUUGCAUAUGCCCAGUUUUUUCAUCUUGAAACUUCGUCAUAUUGGGACAACUAAUUUUUUUAAACUAUAAACUAAUUUACUCAUGUUUAUUUAAUAGAGUGGCCUGUAUUUGGUGUUAAACGUUAUUUGUUCAGUCUGCUACUUUAUUUAACUUGAUAGAAUUGUGCUGGAACAAAUCAUGUUCAUUGGCUAUCAGAAACAAGUCCUAUCGUUUUGCAAGUUUAAUUACAUUCUUCUUGGUUUUCGGAAUUACCAGAUUGUUGAAAGUUAUUAUCAUUGAGAAUUUUAAAUUAACUUCAAAUUUUAUCUUCUAAUGUUUCUUAUGGUUCUUUUUGUUUGAUAUCAAAACUUAUCUCUAAAAUUCUUUAUAUGGCUCAAAAGAAAACACCUAACAUCUGCCUCUGUCUGACAGAAAAACUAUUCAAUGUUAUUCACUUUUAACUAUAUUGUUGCAAUUCCGUGAGUCUUGAUAGCUGAUUCAAACCAUUAAAAAAAUUGGACAUAAAAGGUAAUUUUAUUCUAAAAAUAUUUAUUUAUCCUAGAAGCUAAUUUUGUAAAGUAACCUUUCAUUACUAGUAUUCAUACUCUUUUUGUAUCCUGCUGCAUUUUACUGAUAAGACGAGAAAUUUACCAUGGUGAUUCACAAGUUAAUUUGUAUCUAUGAGAUUUUGAAUCCUAAUUUUGGAGAUUUUAAUGAUUUGAUGAUCUCAAUUCCUGCAAAUGGACAUGACAAUUGGUUUGCUUAUGUGAUUUCAUAAUGGGCCAAGCUGCAGGGUAUGCUUAGAUAUGCACAAACGAGUUCAAUUUUCUUCAAUGUGACAUAUGAUUAUAGGCUAUAUACAGGGAGGAUAUCAAAUAAAAGUAACUACAAUUGCCCUGGUCUUGUUGCUAACCAGCAUGUACAAUGAAUUGGGAAAAAUACAUGUCUAGGGCCAUCAUUACAAUGAAUUGGGUAAACUGACUAUUAACUUUUCUUCCAGGAUAUUACUUCCAGGAUAUGCUGACAAGCCAGUGGUGAUCUUCAGCAAGAGCACUUGCCAUUAUGUGAAAGCUAACAAUGUUUCUAUUUAGCUCCUAGCCUAGCUAUGAAAACUAUACAUCAAGUUUAGUGACAGAGCUUUUUCUAGUCUGUUCGUACUAGUGUACAACUUCAUUCUCAAUUUUUGUGUAAUGUAAGUCAAGUAUAUGCCUGACAUGACCAUGGGCCAAGGCAUGCACAUGUUAUCAAAUGCAAGGCUCAUUUAUAAAAGGAAAUAUAUUCUAUUGUAGAAAUAAAAUAGGAAUAAUUAAAUAGGAUAAGUUUACAAGUGUAUUUUCAUUUAAAAAUUUAAGGUCACAUACCUUUUUAGUUUUUUUAUUUUUCAUAAGAAUGGUCGAAGAGGUAAAAGCAUAUGAACUGUAUAAGUGAUAUGGAAUCCCAUAGAUUCAUUCAUGUAUCUUUAGAUACAGAGUCAUUUAAGAUUCAUCUUGAGAUACAUAUCUACUAUAAUCUUUUAUUUAUUUACUUUCUUUAGUGCAUCUUCUAGUGUGAGUAAGCAUCAUUUGACAAUGUGGCAUUCCAUUUUACUAAAGUUUGUACAGAGGUAACAUUUGGGAAUGCUAUUUUUCAUUACAUUGCAUUAG